UCGAGCGAGACCUUCGGGUCUAGCGGCGGACGGGUUAGUAACGCGUGGGAACGUGCCCUUCUCUGCGGAAUAGCCACUGGAAACGGUGAGUAAUACCGCAUACGCCCUUCGGGGGAAAGAUUUAUCGGAGAAGGAUCGGCCCGCGUUAGAUUAGAUAGUUGGUGGGUAACGGCCUACCAAGUCUACGAUCUAUAGCUGGUUUUAGAGGAUGAUCAGCAACACUGGGACUGAGACACGGCCCAGACUCCUACGGGAGGCAGCAGUGGGGAAUCUUAGACAAUGGGCGCAAGCCUGAUCUAGCCAUGCCGCGUGUGUGAUGAAGGUCUUAGGAUCGUAAAGCACUUUCGCCAGGGAUGAUAAUGACAGUACCUGGUAAAGAAACCCCGGCUAACUCCGUG
rnacentral:rRNA from 1 species